GACGAACGCUGGCGGCGUGCUUAACCCAUGCAAGUCGAACGGUGAAGCGCCUUCCUUUUUGGUGGGUGUGGAUGAGUGGCGAACGGGUGAGUAACACGUGAGUAACCUGCCCCCUUCUUCUGGAUAACCGCAUGAAAGUGUGGCUAAUACGGGAUAUUCUGGGUCUGUCGCAUGAUGGGUCUGGGAAAGAUAUUGUUUCGGUGGGGGAUGGGCUCGCGGCCUAUCAGCUUGUUGGUGGGGUGAUGGCCUACCAAGGCGGUGACGGGUAGCCGGCCUGAGAGGGUGGACGGUCACACUGGGACUGAGACACGGCGCAGACUCCUACGGGAGGCAGCAGUGGGGAAUAUUGCACAAUGGGCGCAAGCCUGAUGCAGCGACGCCGCGUGAGGGAUGGAGGCCUUCGGGUUGUGAACCUCUUUCGCCAGUGAAGCAGGCCUGCCUCGUUUGUGGGUGGGUUGACGGUAGCUGGAUAAGAAGCGCCGGCUAACUACGUG
rnacentral:rRNA from 1 species